rnacentral:rRNA from 1 species
ACAGAGGUCUCAAGCGUUGUUCGGAUUCAUUGGGCGUAAAGGGUGCGUAGGCUGUGGGGUAAGUCUGGUGUGAAAUCCCGGGGCUCAACCCCGGAACUGCACUGGAUACUGCUUUACCAGAGCACUGGAGAGGGAACUGGAAUUUACGGUGUAGCAGUGAAAUGCGUAGAUAUCGAGAGGAACACCUGCGGCGAAGGCGGGUUGCUGGGCCGACACUGACGCUGAUGCGCGAAAGCCAGGGGAGCGAACGGGA